rnacentral:rRNA from 1 species
UGAACGCUGGCGGAAUGCUUUACACAUGCAAGUCGAGCGGCAGCGCGGGGCAACCUGGCGGCGAGCGGCGAACGGGUGAGUAACACAUCGGAACGUACCCUGUUGUGGGGGAUAGCCCGGCGAAAGCCGGAUUAAUACCGCAUAAGACCUGAGGGUGAAAGCGGGGGACCGCAAGGCCUCGCGCGACAGGAGCGGCCGAUGGCGGAUUAGCUAGUUGGUGGGGUAAAGGCUCACCAAGGCGACGAUCCGUAGCUGGUCUGAGAGGAUGAUCAGCCACACUGGAACUGAGACACGGUCCAGACUCCUACGGGAGGCAGCAGUGGGGAAUUUUGGACAAUGGGGGCAACCCUGAUCCAGCCAUUCCGCGUGAGUGAAGAAGGCCUUCGGGUUGUAAAGCUCUUUCGGCAGGAACGAAACGGUGGGCUCUAACAUAGUCUGCUAAUGACGGUACCUGAAGAAGAAGCACCGGCUAACUACGUGCCAGCAGCCGCGGUAAUACGUAGGGUGCGAGCGUUAAUCGGAAUUACUGGGCGUAAAGCGUGCGCAGGCGGUUUCGUAAGACAGAUGUGAAAUCCCCGGGCUUAACC